rnacentral:rRNA from 1 species
AGUGAACGCUGGCGGUAGGCCUAACACAUGCAAGUCGAACGACCACACAGUAAGCGCUUGCUCUUACGGGUAGCGAGUGGCGGACGGGUGAGACAUAGAUAAGCAUCUACUAUUUCGUGGGGGACAACGGAAGGCCACAUACGAUACUACCGCAUAUGACCAACGGGUGAAAGCAGUAGAUAUUCGGACCUUUCGUGAUUCAAAUAGCCGAUGCCGGAUUAGCUAGUUGGCGAGGUAAAGGCCCACCAAGGCGACGAUCCGUAGCUGAUCUGAGAGGAUGAUCGGCCACACUGGAACUGAGACACGGUCCAGACUCCUACGGGAGGCAGCAGUGGGGAAUAUUGGGCAAUGGGCGCAAGCCUGAUCCAGCCAUACCGCGUGAGUGAUGAAGGUCUUCGGGUCGUAAAGCUCUUUUGUUGGGAAAGAAAAGCAGCAUGUUAAUACCCGGCUGUUCUGACGGUACCCAAAGAAAAAGCACCGGCUAACUACGUG